rnacentral:rRNA from 1 species
AGGGAAUAUUGGACAAUGGGGGAAACCCUGAUCCAGCGACGCCGCGUGAGGGACGAAGGCCUUCGGGUUGUAAACCUCUGUUGUCAGGGAAGAAGCCGGGUGCAUAACCCGGUGACGGUACCUGACGAGGAAGCCCCGGCUAACUACGUGCCAGCAGCCGCGGUGAGACGUAGGGGGCAAGCGUUAUCCGGAUUCACUGGGCGUAAAGGGCGUGUAGGCGGUUACGUAAGUCCGGCGUGAAAAUUCACGGCUUAACUGUGAACGUGCGUCGGAUACUGCGUUGACUUGAGGGCGGUAGAGGUAGAUGGAACUAGCGGUGUAGCGGUGAAAUGCACAGAUAUCGCUAGGAACGCCGGUGGCGAAGGCGAUCUGCUGGGCCGUUCCUGACGCUGAGGCGCGAAAGCUAGGGGAGCGAA